CACCGGAGGAUGCAUACGAAGGCAUGUACUGAGAGGGCAAAUUUGUCAAGGCUUCUGGGUCCCUCACUCUUAUUGGUGGAGAGUUCAAGAUGGCACUGGUAAAAUAAGGUUUUCAGUGAAAGGUGCAGAAUCCACUACACGCCCCCGAAGGUGAAAUGAAGCUCUGCGUGACGAGAGGAGCCGCUUCACUCGAUGGUUGAAUCCAGACUGGAGCUGAAACUGUGACCUGCUGCUGCGUGCCGACUGCAGGCUGUUCACCACGCAGACCACUCUGACCUCUUCUCCACCUCACUCAUAUUCCAUUGUGGUUAUUGUGCUGCAUUAACAUCACUGUAAAACAUCACUGUGUGGUUCUUUAAUGAGAAACAUUGUACAAAAAGAGUCUUUUUUUUAAAGAUAAUGAAAUGUUUUCAAGUGAA